UUUCUCAUUAAAUUGCACAUUUUUGAAUAAUUUAGGAUUAAAUUUAAAGAGUUUAAUAUUUUUUAAAAAAAUUUAGGAGUUAUUUUUUACACUUUAUUCCAAAAAAGACAAUUUUAAAAAUUUAUCUACCCAAGACAAGAAAGAGUGAAAUUGUGAAUAAUUGAAUUGAAUAGCACUGUUUCAAUAAAUUUAGAAUAAAUCAGAGAAAAAAGAAAAAGAAAAUAAAGAGGUAGGUGGGGGAUUGUGGUUCACAAGGGUAUGAAUGUCCUUUGGACCUAGGUCAAACACACAAGACACCCUAUAUUAAUCGUAAAUGAGAGACUGGAGGCACAAAAGCCCUAUUUUCCGACCGAGAAGAGGCCACCAAAAAACCAUAAUUUUCGAUUAGAAGGAGCCACCGUUAGUAUACUUUGGUAGAUAAUUAUUGCUUGAUUGCAUGUGGUUUCAGCCUUUCUGCUGAUGGUAUCAUGCAAACUAUCAGCACUCCACAAGUAAUUAUGUGUCUGAUGUAUCCACCCGUGUAGUUUUGUUUAUUUGGGAAAUGGAACAUUUUGUGUGGCCAGGAGUGAAAUCUGUGAAAGAACUCCCGAAGUUCAAGACGUGGCCAUCAUCACCGUCGAAAUUGAUCAGAUGGUCACGAUGAGUUCAUCUGUCUGCACCUUGAAUAGGGAGGACCUCGGCCAGGCACAAAUAAGAGCACUUUGUUUUGACUCCCAGAUUUCCAGCAAAGAACUCAAAGUGGAAAGGUUUUACUUCAGGUAAGGAUCGAUCCGAGUACUUUGAGGAUCAACAUUUGCAGCCAGUGGACACUGAUUCACCAAAGCUGGAGUCAGUACCUGAGAGCAGUCAACCUGCUAGAAAAAGAGCCGUCAGCCCACUAGCAGUAACUGAUUCCUUUUUUCUUUUUUUCUUUUUUUUUUUUUUUUUUUUGUUUU